UACGUAGGGUGCGAGCGUUAAUCGGAAUUACUGGGCGUAAAGUGUGCGCAGGCGGCCGAGCAAGUCGAGUGUGAAAGCCCCGAGCUUAACUUGGGAACUGCGCUCGAAACUACUUGGCUAGAGUGUGGCAGAGGGAGGUGGAAUUCCACGUGUAGCGGUGAAAUGCGUAGAGAUGUGGAGGAACACCGAUGGCGAAGGCAGCCUCCUGGGCCAACACUGACACUCAGGUGCGACAGCGUGGGGAGCAAACAGG
rnacentral:rRNA from 1 species